rnacentral:misc_RNA from 1 species
UUAAGUUCAGCGGGUAUCCCUACCUGAUCCGAGGUCAAUCUGAGAAGUAGAUUUGGUAAGACCGGGCCGGAGGACGUCCAGACGCGUGCUGAAAAGCUCGUUGCAUCCAGCGUCCCCACGGGCUCUGCCAUUAUCUUUCGGGUCCACCGAAUGUCUCAGCGGUGGGACCCAACACCAAGCCGAGCUUGAGGGUUGAUAAU